GGCGGGUAACGGCCCACCAAGGCGACGAUGCGUAGGGGUUCUGAGAGGAAGGUCCCCCACAUUGGUACUGAGACACGGACCAAACUCCUACGGGAGGCAGCAGUGAGGAAUAUUGGUCAAUGGACGAGAGUCUGAACCAGCCAAGUCGCGUGAGGGAGGAAGGUCCUAUGGAUUGUAAACCUCUUUUGCCGGGGAGUAACAAGCGGGACGUGUCCCGCCCUGAGAGUACCCGGAGAAAAAGCAUCGGCUAACUCCGUGCCAGCAGCCGCGGUAAUACGGAGGAUGCAAGCGUUAUCCGGAUUUAUUGGGUUUAAAGGGUGCGCAGGCGGCGAGUCAAGUCAGCGGUCAAAGUGCGGAGCUCAACUCCGUAUCGCCGUUGAAACUGGUUUGCUAGAGUGCGUGCGAGGAAGGCGGAAUGCGUGGUGUAGCGGUGAAAUGCAUAGAUAUCACGCAGAACUCCGAUUGCGAAGGCAGCUUUCCAGCACGCUACUGACGCUCAUGCACGAAAGCGUGGGGAUCGAACAGGAUUAGAUACCCUGGUAGUCCACGCGGUAAUACGAUGAUUACUUAGAUAUUCGGGCCGAUUGGGGCCUGUGUGUCACAGCGAAAGCGUUAAGUAAUCCACCUGGGGAGUACGCCGGCAACGGUGAAACUCAAAGGAAUUGACGGGGGCCCGCACAAGCGGAGGAACAUGUGGUUUAAUUCGAUGAUACGCGAGGAACCUUACCCGGGCUCAAACGCCAAGAGACGUAACCUGAAAGGGUUAUUUCCGCAAGGACUGUUGGCGAGGUGCUGCAUGGUUGUCGUCAGCUCGUGCCGUGAGGUGUCGGCUUAAGUGCCAUAACGAGCGCAACCCCCAUUUUCAGUUGCCAUCGGGUCAUGCCGGGCACUCUGGAGAGACUGCCGGCGCAAGCUGUGAGGAAGGCGGGGAUGACGUCAAAUCAGCACGGCCCUUACGUCCGGGGCGACACACGUGUUACAAUGGCGGGGCACAGAAGGAAGCCAGGCGGCGACGCCGAGCCGAUCCCAAAAACCCGUCUCAGUUCGGAUCGGAGUCUGCAACUCGACUCCGUGAAGCUGGAUUCGCUAGUAAUCGCGCAUCAGCCAUGGCGCGGUGAAUACGUUCCCGGGCCUUGUACACACCGCCCGUCAAGCCAUGGAAGCUUGGAGUACCUAAAGUCCGUGACCG
rnacentral:rRNA from 1 species